rnacentral:rRNA from 1 species
GAUGAACGCUAGCGGCAGGCCUAAUACAUGCAAGUCGAACGGUGUCUUCGGACAUAGUGGCGCACGGGUGCGUAACACGUAUGCAACCUACCUUACAUUGGGGGAUAGCCUUUCGAAAGGGAGAUUAAUACCGCAUAAGACAGUAGCUGGGCAUCCAGCAGCUGUUAAAGAUUUAUCGAUGUAAGCUGGGCAUGCGUCCAAUUAGCUAGUUGGUGAGGUAACGGCUCACCAAGGCAAUGAUUGGUAGGGGAACUGAGAGGUCAAUCCCCCACACUGGCACUGAGAUACGGGCCAGACUCCUACGGGAGGCAGCAGUAGGGAUUAUUGGGCAAUGGACGCAAGUCUGACCCAGCCAUGCCGCGUGCAGGAUGAAGGCGUUAUGCGUUGUAAACUGCUUUUAUACAGGAAGAAACGACUCUUGCGAGAGGCAUUGACGGUACUGUAUGAAUAAGCACCGGCUGACUCCGUGCCAGCAGCCGCAGUAAAAC